UCUCGGCAACGGAUAUCUCGGCUCUCGCAUCGAUGAAGAACGUAGCGAAAUGCGAUACCUGGUGUGAAUUGCAGAAUCCCGCGAACCAUCGAGUCUUUGAACGCAAGUUGCGCCCGAGGCCAUCCGGCCGAGGGCACGCCUGCCUGGGCGUCACGCUAAACACGCUC
rnacentral:rRNA from 3 species